rnacentral:rRNA from 1 species
UGGGGAAUAUUGCACAAUGGGGGAAAGACCCUGAUGCAGCGACGCCGCGUGAGCGAUGAAGUAUUUCGGUAUGUAAACUUCUAUCAGCAGGGAAGAAAAUGACGGUACCUGACUAAGAAGCCCCGCUGAACUACGUGCCAGCCAGCCGCGGGUAAUACGUAGGGGCGAAGCGUUAUCCGGAUUUACUGGGUGUAAAGGGAGCGUAGACGGAGCAGCAAGUCUGAUGUGAAAGGCGGGGCGUCAACCCACUGGACUGCAUUGGAAACUGUUGAUCUUGAGUACCGGAGAGGUAAGCGGAAUUCCUAGUGUAGCGGUGAAAUGCGUAGAUAUUAGGAGGAACACCAGUGGCGAAGGCGGCUUACUGGACGGUAACUGACGUUGAGGCUCGAAAAGCGUGGGGAGCAAACAGGAUUAGAUACC